AUUGAACGCUGGCGGCAGGCCUAACACAUGCAAGUCGAGCGGAUGAAGGGAGCUUGCUCCUGGAUUCAGCGGCGGACGGGUGAGUAAUGCCUAGGAAUCUGCCCGGAAGUGGGGGAUAACGUCCGGAAACGGGCGCUAAUACCGCAUACGUCCUGAGGGAGAAAGUGGGGGAUCUUCGGACCUCACGCUAUCAGAUGAGCCUAGGUCGGAUUAGCUAGUUGGUGGGGUAAAGGCCUACCAAGGCGACGAUCCGUAACUGGUCUGAGAGGAUGAUCAGUCACACUGGAACUGAGACACGGUCCAGACUCCUACGGGAGGCAGCAGUGGGGAAUAUUGGACAAUGGGCGAAAGCCUGAUCCAGCCAUGCCGCGUGUGUGAAGAAGGUCUUCGGAUUGUAAAGCACUUUAAGUUGGGAGGAAGGGCAGUAAGUUAAUACCUUGCUGUUUUGACGUUACCAACAGAAUAAGCACCGGCUAACUUCGUG
rnacentral:rRNA from 1 species